rnacentral:lncRNA from 1 species
UCCCCAUCUCGCCCACCUCCUUCCCAGUUGGAACAGAUUAACAAUGAUGUGGCUCUCUUACAUCAAGAAGUGAGAAAAUUUUGGAGGUAAAGUAAAGGGGAAAUAAAGUAGAAAUGAUUCUUAAGUCA